AAUAAAAAAAUAAAAAUAAAAAAAUAAAAAUAAAAAAAUAAGAAUAAGAAUAAGAAUAAAAAGAUGUUGGCAGAAAACGGAAUAAAAAAGGAUUAUGCUCAUCCUAAUUAUGAUGGGUUAUAUAAUGAACAAAAUGAUAGCAGGUGUUAUACUAGUUAUAAGGAGGAUAUGAAGUUAACAGUGGAUGUAGAAAAACAAUGUAAAAUAAAAUAUUAUAACAAUACCAAAAGAAAUACAAAUAGUUUAUUUAAAAAAUAUCCAGUUAAUCAACAUAAUAAAAACCUAAUGGAGCAUUCUUUUUAUAAGAAGGAAAUACAAAGCAGUAACAGCAGUAAUAGUAUUAUUAACAGUAAUAUAUAUAACACGAAUAAUAAUAGUACUUGUAAUACAUCUGUUCAUAAUUCUUCCAUUACUAUGCAUAACAAACUAUAUUUUAAUAAUGAUAGUAGUAGUAGUAAUAUUAGUAAUAGAAAUAAUAAAUACACAUUUAACAAAAAUAAGAAAAAUUUAUUUUAUAAUAAUAAAAAAACAUAUAUGAAUGGCACGAAGAGUAAUAAUAAUACUACUAAUAACAAUGGCACUAUUAACAACAAUAUUGGUGUUAAUAACAGUGGUAGUUAUAAAUACGGUUACAAAUUUGGAUAUUACAACAUGAGCAAGGAUGUCGGCAAUAGCAAUAGCAUAAAAAAAAAAAAUAAUAAUAAAAACUUUAGCGUAAAUUUAUGUAACUCGUGCUUAAACGUUGAUGGAGAUAUUUAUUUAAAACAAAUAAAAGAAAUAAUUGAUCGGAAAUUAGAUUUGUCAAAAGAAGAUAGUAAUGUGCUAGCCGAGUUACAUAAAAAAAAUAUCCAUCAAUCUUAUUGUUUUAGUAAUUUAAAAACAGUUUGUACAUUUCGCAGAGGUGGUUUAGUAUGGGUUGUAUAUCAGAAUAAUCUUACUAAUUGCGAUAGUUCCGAUAACAAUGACAAUGACAACAAUAAAAAUUGUGUCCUCAACAAUAGUAAUAUUAAUAAUAUAAACAAAAACUGUAUAAACAAAACUAGCAAGACUGUACUAAUAAACUACGACAAAUUAGAAAAAGAAAAACAAAGUAGUGUAUUAUACAAUAAUCAGAAAAAUAAUGUCGACGAGUUUAACUACACAAAUUUAAUAAAAACAAAUGUAUUUUACAAUAAUAAUUAUAUAAUAGAACCAACUAUAGAAAAUACAUGGCUAAAAAAAGCAUUAUUGUUAAUUAAAAAUGAAUCAUUAGAUAUAGACGAAUUUUUUUUUAAAUUAAAAUACUAUUUUUAUAAAUCAGUCCAAUUUUUAUAUAAAGAAGGAAUAAAAUCAUAUUUAGGGGAUAUGGCUAAUCAAAUGAAAAUUUAUAUAAAAUAUAAUUUUUGGGCAGCUUCAGAAAUAGCAUAUAUAUUACGCCUAUUAACAAAUUUAUGCAAUUUACAAAUAGAAGUUCGAAUAAAAGGAGAAAUAGGAUGUGUUAUAUAUUUAAAUAAAACACCAAAAGGUUUUAAAAAUUUUGUAGAUAGUCAUGAUUUAACUGAUACUUUUAGCAAAAAAGAUUGGCUUUUGUUAAAUCAAUUUGCCAUAAAAAUGAUGCAGUAUAAAAAAGAAGACAAUGAACAACCAGUAUGUACUAGUAGUCGUAAAACUAUUAAAGGAGAUACUGAUGAGGAUAAUAGUGACGAUCUAUUUACAACUAGAAUAGAUACACCACAUAAUAGUCAAGAAAAAGAGCAAAAUAUCGAAUUGUUAGAAUCACUAUCUGAAGCAGCCACUACAAGUACAACUGCAACUACAACUAUAAGUACCAAUACACCGACGCAUGUACAUAUAGACGAAAAUAAUCAAUGUGAAGAAGAAGAAACAUAUGAUUGUAUUUUAUGCUCAGCUAAUAACAAAAAAUUAAAACCAUAUAUGUUUAAUGGUGGUAGAUAUGCAUUUGCUGCAAAAUUAAAACACGAAAUAAAAAGUUUUAAGUCGAAAAGGUUAGGUGAAAUAAUACAUUUAGUUCAAUUAGCUAUACAUCAAGGUAUUUUUGUAUACUCACAAAGAAUAUUAUUACCUAUUGCUGCAUGUGAAAGAAGUGCAAAUGACUUAUAUCCAAAAUGUAAACUAUUUAACUCUUUUUGAAAUUGUAUUAUAAAUUGUUGUUUUAAUUGAGCUAAAACCAAACCAUUUUGUUUGUGAUCUACUAAAAGUGAAAUAAUAUGUAAGACUUCCUCUAUGGUUGUACAUAUUUCGUAUGUAAAACUUUUUACUUUUGGAUAUAAAAAAUUACAAAACAUGCUUUUAGCUGAACCCUUUAAUAAACGUUACAAACUUUACA
ensembl:lncRNA